CUCAUUUGAAAAGAAGACAGCAAGAAUGACAAAGUUUGACUAAUAAAGCGGAGUUUUUUGGUCUCCUCCCUUUCUUAUUCUGACCUGUACUUUGCUUUCGUUAUAAAGCGAAUGUAGAAAUGACCCAGUGGGAGUGGUGAAACUGCAGCAGAGAAACAAAAACUAUUUGGAUUCAUCCGAAAGCUCUUCAUUUGCUUGCUCCUCUUUUUAUUAACGGCUCGAAGCGUGCAGCCUGUCUUGUUCUGACUACGUGUCUGUCAGCAAGAGCAGAGGACUGGCAGCGUUUAGAUCCCGAGAGGAUCUCUGUCCCAAGGCACGGGAAGUGUUCCUGGUCCCUGGCUGCGAGUGCAGGUUGUUAGAGUUAUGAGACCAGAGGUAUGUUAAUGACC
rnacentral:lncRNA from 12 species